UACGUAGGGUGCAAGCGUUGUCCGGAAUUAUUGGGCGUAAAGAGCUCGUAGGCGGCUUGUCGCGUCGGCUGUGAAAACUCGGGGCUCAACCCCGAGCCUGCAGUCGAUACGGGCAGGCUAGAGUCCGGCAGGGGAGACUGGAAUUCCUGGUGUAGCGGUGAAAUGCGCAGAUAUCAGGAGGAACACCGGUGGCGAAGGCGGGUCUCUGGGCCGGAAGCUGACGCUAAGGAGCGAAAGCGUGGGGAGCGAACAGG
rnacentral:rRNA from 1 species